GUGGGGAAUUUUGCGCAAUGGGGGAAACCCUGACGCAGCAACGCCGCGUGGAGGAUGAAGGUCUUCGGAUUGUAAACUCCUGUCCUCGGGGAAAAAGAAAGUGAUGGUACCCGGGGAGGAAGCCCCGGCUAACUCCGUGCCAGCAGCCGCGGUAAUACGGGGGGGGCGAGCGUUGUUCGGAAUUACUGGGCGUAAAGGGCGCGUAGGCGGCCUGGGAAGUCUUGGGUGAAAGCCCCCGGCUCAACCGGGGAAGGGCCUGAGAAACCACUGGGCUGGAGUGCUGGAGAGGGAAGCGGAAUUCCUGGUGUAGCGGUGAAAUGCGUAGAGAUCAGGAGGAACAUCUGUGGCGAAGGCGGCUUCCUGGACAGACACUGACGCUGAGGCGCGAAAGCUAGGGGAGCAAACAGGAUUAGAAACCCUUGUAGUCC
rnacentral:rRNA from 1 species